GGAUGCGAUCAUACCAACACUAACGCACCGGGUCCCAUCAGAACUCCUAACUUAAGCGUGCUUGAACGAGAGUAGUAUUAUGAUGGGUGACCCCCUCCGAAGUCCUUGUGUUGCAUCCC
rfam:Solanum lycopersicum cultivar Heinz 1706 chromosome 1, whole genome shotgun sequence.